rfam:Felis catus isolate Cinnamon breed Abyssinian chromosome B4, whole genome shotgun sequence.
GCCUGGGUGGCUCAGUCGGUUGAGCGUCUGACUUCAGCUCAGGUCAUGAUCUCACGGUUCAUGACUUCAAGCCCCAUGUCAGGCU